rfam:Ailuropoda melanoleuca scaffold218_48, whole genome shotgun sequence.
ACCUGGCUGGCUCAGUUUGUAGAGCAUGUGACUCUUGAUCUUGUGGUCGUGAGUUUGAACCCCAUGUUGGGUG